rnacentral:rRNA from 1 species
GCACAAGCGGUGGAGCAUGUGGUUCAAUUCGAAGCAACGCGCAGAACCUUACCAACCUUUGACAUGUCCCGUAUGAGCAACAGAGAUGUAGCUCUUCAGUUCGGCUGGCGGGAACACAGGUGCUGCAUGGCUGUCGUCAGCUCGUGUCGUGAGAUGUUGGGUUAAGUCCCGCAACGAGCGCAACCCUCGCCCUUAGUUGCCAUCAUUCAGUUGGGCACUCUAAGGGGACUGCCGGUGAUAAGCCGCGAGGAAGGUGGGGAUGACGUCAAGUCCUCAUGGCCCUUACAGGUUGGGCUACACACGUGCUACAAUGGCGGUGACAGUGGGACGCAAUGGGGCAACCCUGCGCAAAUCUCAAAAAGCCGUCUCAGUUCGGAUUGCACUCUGCAACUCGAGUGCAUGAAGUUGGAAUCGCUAGUAAUCGCAGAUCAGCACGCUGCGGUGAAUACGUUCCCGGGC